rnacentral:rRNA from 1 species
CUUAAUUAAUAAAGGAAUUUAGAUUGUUUAGUAAGUAUAAGUUAUAUUAAAUAAUUGAUUUAAGGAAUUUAAUAUUAGUUUAAUUAAUAAGACUAACUGUUAAUUUUAUGCAUAGAAAAUAAUUUUUAAA